UACGUAGGAGGCGAGCGUUGUCAGGAAUUACUGGGCGUAAAGAGCGCGUAGGCGGCACGGUACGACCGGUGUGAAAGCCCCCGGCUCAACUGGGGAGGGUCACCGGUAACGGUCGAGCUAUGAGUGCAGGAGAGGGAAGUGGAACUCCGGGAGUAGCGGUGAAAUGCGUAGAGACCCGGAGGAACACCAGUGGCGAAGGCGGCUUCCUGGUCUGCGACUGACGCUGUGGCGCGAAAGCUAGGGGAGCAAACGGG
rnacentral:rRNA from 1 species